UCAUAUAUAGUAAGAAAUACGAAGAGUUGAGCGAGAAGCGUGUGGGGUUGGAGGAUAUAAUGAGGGUAUGAGAUAACUUGUGGUAACCAGUCUGGAGCAAGGUGCCCGGCCAGAUUGCCAACUGGUUGGUCGGGGAGGGGGAGGCCGGAGGGGAGGAGACACUAUUGCAUCUCAGCAGGGAAGGAAUAUGAACCAGGAAUGGAACUACAUGUACGUCUAGCCGAAAUAGAACCAUAUAUGGUCAUGUCUUUACGUAAAACACGUAUUGCAGAAAUGGCGUCACCGGGUCACCGGCUACAGACGAGAGGGUGUCAUUUACUAUGUAAAUGAUACUAAAAUGGAUGGGAAGCUGUAAUUAGAACACCAGGCUUAUGCUGUUGAUAACACUAAAAGGUCUAUCAGUUGACUUUCUGACGUCUUACCAAACUAUCCAUCAAUCCAAAAAUACGAUAGCACAGCAAGACAAGCGACAUAAAUACACUUUCACCAUCGGAGAGUUCAAAAGUUUCUUUGUCAUACGAGUUUGAGUAUGAUCAACACUUUCAACGAAAUGUGUGAUACACACCAAAACGUGUCUGAAGUUAGACUGGUACCAUGCUGUUACAAACGUUAUAAAUGAAAAGGAUUUCCAAACUACGAGAACAAACCAUCAUCACCAAGAAGAAAGGUUUUCAACCAACAACAAAAUAAUAUUGAAGUGCACGAACCUCAUGCUUCUGGAAUCUGUUGCCGAAAGGUGGAUGAACUGAACGAGUUCCAAUACGCAAAGAUGGAAUAGCUGUGAAUGAGAUAAAGUAUGAGAAUAAGAACAUCUGUCUAUGAGAAUAUGAAUAAUCGAGUGUGUAUACAAAUGUGAAAGUACGUUCGUAUGAAUUCUUGUGUGAAUAUGUAUUGUUAUGUGUGUGUACAAGAUUAAAAGUGUGUAAAGAUAUUGUAUAUAUGUAAGUCUAAAUGGAAAAAACUUGUAUAUAGUUGUUAGUUUUAAUGGAAUUGAAAGAAUUAUUGAUCUUUUGUAAAUAUGUUAAAGGAGGACCUCGAUAGCCCGAAAACUUCCUCCUCUUUUAGAAACCAAUGUUUUGUUUAAGUACAUUUCGCAUGUAUCCAACAUAUUGGUUUUAAAGCGAGUUGUGCAGAAUAAGUGGUUGGUCGGAUUAAUGAGGUUCUGCUUUGCAUGUAUGUAAUAUUGAUAUGUAUCUACUGGCUCGGAAAUAGACCAACAGUAAUUGGAUGAUCAUCCCGGUGAACUUGUACAUAAAAAGACCCGUGUGUCUCAUAACUAUGCAAACUAAUGUAGCAUUGUAAAAUAUGCUCAGACAAAUAGUCAAGCUGUACUACGCAUGCUGCUUAUUAUCCACCCACCAUACGCCUUAUUUACUAAUUAAACAACAUUCACUUUCUAAUCUGGAAAAAUAUCCGCUGUGUUUUUAUAGUUGAUAUAUAAUAAUCUAUUAGGAAACAUUCAUAUCUAUAAUUUAAUCGACCAAUAAGCCUGAUGCUAUUUUCUUGUGCCAAGUUUUUUUUUUUUUUGUGAUAAUUGACUAUUAUAAGAAAGGAUAUAAACAUACUCGUGCGUGUAGCUUUAUUUUAGUUUUGUUCGUCUUGAUAAUGAUUUGCAUUUGAAAUAGGAACUCUUUUCUUUUACAAAUUUAUUUUGCAUAAUAUUUAUGCUAAGUCGUCUUAAGUGUAUACGUUUUAGCUGGAGUGUAGUGGUGUAAUAUAUCACUACUUAGUGCAGAGGGCAGAAGACAAUAUACGAUAUAGUACAUUAAAUUUCUAUAAAUAGAUAGAAACCGUUAAUUCUAAUUUAUGUUUAUAUAUCAUGAGUAAAUUGUCAGCGUUUUGCAAAUAUAGAAGUGAUACGGUUUUGGUCAAUGAUUAUUUAUAAUUUGGCAUUACAUCUUUUAUAUUUGCAGAGAGUUUUGGGUGAAUCUGGGGCCUUAUAAAGACACAUUCCCCUUGAUAUUUUCUAAUUGCAAAAUUCACUCUAUUUUCCCGAAAUCAUGUUUUUGUGUGUGAUAUUUCACAAAGCUACAAGGAACAGGCUUCUGUCUAAGAGAGGUAGAAACCUCACUGAUAUGUACUUUAAUAAAUUAUUGAUACACCUAUCUAUUCAACAUUACUAAACCUACGUAUGGAUAUUCAUAAGAAUAUUUUUCACGGUACUAUAUGUGAUUGUCUUCUGUCCCCUCUCGCCUCCUUUCAUAUCGCUUGAUAUGGCUGUAUAGAACAUUAACGUUAUUUCAAACGUUGUUGCAUCUCAGGGGAAUGGCUUAAUCUGUUCUUUGGACAAUUACCAUUCACGGAUGAAUUAUUUCAACCCGGUUAUUUUUAUUUGUGCCAUUUUACCAUAACAUGCCAUAUAUUGAUAUGCUUUUUGUAAUCAGGUAAAUUGGAGAGAGCGAGAGAGAUGUUAUGAAAGUGCGAUUAUCUGAAUUGUAUUUAGUGUGUGAUGUUGUAGUAUAUGAAUGGUGUAUAUAAUUAUUGAAAGAUUAUAGUUUUUGUGAUAAAUCUGUGUAUGGAACACUUGUCCCUUACUUCUGUGAACUAAAUGGACAAUUGCGUAUUUUUGUUGAACACAUAUGGCUACUCUUUAAAUUACAAGAUAAAGUAUGUGAUAACAGAUUGAUAUAUAAAUAUAUUUUUCAUUUUGAUACUCGUAGCAGUGGCCUAGUAAUAUAAUGUAUUUAUAUAAGGACAUGAAUGUGUUUAGUUGAUGUAUGUAGAAGCUGCUUUUCGGAAAGGAAUUAAGACCCAAAUGCUAAGGUGUUAGUGUGGGUUAAUAUAACAAUUACGCACAGUUUUAAUGUGGGUUACUAUUAAGAUGAAACGUACCAAAACAAAUAUGCAAGGCUUCAGAAGAUCUAGUUACAACAACAUGACAUAGAGACAAAUGAAGGUCUUCCAUGUUAAUAUGUAUACUACUCUUUGUUUUGUCUGUGGUGAGACAUCAUGUGACAUGCAAGUUGGAAUGAUUAGAUCGAUAGACUUCGACUAGAUAAAUCCACCCGGGGAUAUUGUGUGACGUAAUAAAUCCGUGUGAGUUGUUUGAUGUGAAUAUAUGCCUGUGAGUUACUACUGUAAAACAUCCCGGUGAAUAGUGUGACGUGUAUAAAUCCCCGUGAAUUGUGUGAUGUGAAUGAAUCCCCGUGAAUUGUGUGGUGUGAAUGAAAGCCUGUGAGUUACUACUGUAAAACAUCCCGGUGUAUUGUGUGACGUGAAUAAAUCCCCGUGAAUUGUGCGAUGUGAAUAAACCCCCGUGAAUUGUGUGAUGUGAAUAAAUCCUCGUGAAAUAUUAUGUGAUGUGAAAUGAGAAAGAAUGCAUUAAUGAUGCUACCCGGUGAUAAUGCGAAAUGUGAAAGAAAACAUUAAUGAUACUUCCCGGUGAUCAUGUGAGACGCGAGAGAAAGCAUUAUUGAUGCUACCCGGUGAUAAUGCGAAAUGUGAAAGAAUACAUAAAUGAUGCUACCCGGUGAUAAUGUGAGAUGAGAAAGAAUACAUAAAUGAUGCUACCCGUCAAAAUGUUCGAUGUGAAAGAAUACAUAAAUGAUGCUUCCCGGUGAUGAUGUGAGAUGAGAAAGAAUACAUAAAUGAUGCUUCCCAGUGAUAAUGUGAUAUGGGAAAGAAUACAUAAAUGAUGCUACCCGGUGAUAAUGUGAUAUGGGAAAGAAUACAUAAAUGAUGCUACCCGGUGAUGAUGAGAGAUGUGAAAAGUACAUAAAUGAUGCUACUCGGUGAUAAUGUAAAAUGAGAAAGAGUACAUAAAUGAUGCUACCCGGUGAUAAUGUUAGAUAUGUAAAAAUACAUAAAUGAUGCUACCCGGUGAUGAUGUGAGAUGUGAAAGAAUAGAUAAAUGAUGCUAAACGGUGAUCAUGUAAGUUGUGAGAGAAUACAUUAAUGAUGCUACCCGGUGAUAAUGUGAGUUGUGGGAGAAUGCUUUAAUGAUGCUACCCGGUGAUGAUGUGAGAUGAGAAAGAAUUCAUAAAUUAUGCUACCCGGUGAUAAUGUAAGAUGUGAGAGAAUGCAUAAAUGAUGCUACCUGGUGAUAAUGUGAGUUGUGAGAGAAUGCAUAAAUUAUGCUACCCGGUGAUGAUGUUAGAUGAGAAAGAAUACAUUAAUGAUGCUACCCGGUGAUAAUGUGAGUUGUAAAAAAAUACAUAAAUGAUGCUAACCGGUUUUAAUGUGAGUUGUAAAAGAAUACAUAAAUGAUGCGAGUUGUAAAAGAAUACAUAAAUGAUGCUACCCGGUGAUAAUGUGACUUGUAAAAGAAUACAUAAAUGAUGCUACCCGUUGAUAAUGUGAGUUGUGAGAGAAUGCAUAAAUUAUGCUACCCGGUGAUGAUGUGAGUUGUAAAAGAAUACAUAAAUGACGCUACCCGGUGAUAAUGUGAGUUGUGAGAGAAUGCAUAAAUUAUGCUACCCGGUGAUGAUGUGAGUUGUAAAAGAAUACAUAAAUGAUGCUACCCGAUGAUAAUGUGAGUUGUAAAAGAAUAGAUAAAUGAUGCUACCCGGUGAUAAUGUGAGUUGUAAAAGAAUACAUAAAUGAUGCUACCCGGUGAUAAUGAUAGAUGAGGAAAAGAUUCAGGUUGCUACCCAGAGAUCAUGUGAGAGUUGUGAGAGAAUGCAUUAAUGAUGCUACCCGGUGAUAAUAUGAGAAUUGAAAUAAUACAUAAGUGAUGCUACCCGUUGAUAAAUAUAAUAUAUCACGAAAUGUUAUACUGUUCUGUGCUAAACUAUGCUCAUCCAAUAGGAUGAAAAUGUAAAUAAUCUAUGUGGAUGAAUAUCCCGGUGAAUUUAAUUAACAUCCCUAGUCCUAUCGGGCCAAGGAUGUCUAAUAAACUGUGUAUAAAUGUGUUUAAAUGGACCAAUUUAUGUUCAGGAAAAUUUGACGUUUAACGGUUGUUAUUUUACAUGUAAAAUACAAUAAGAACAUAUUUUUAGGUCAAGCGAUAUAGUGAACGAUGUUUGACAUCAAAUCUGUUAUUUGUUUUAAGUAUAUUCCUUAUCAUUCUAACUACACAUUCAUUCUUAUUAUAACUAACUAUAUAUAUAUCUUACCAGUAUCUGUGAUUGUAAAUAACUCACACGAGUUCUGUCUAUUUUGUUUAAUCAUUCCAAUCUCUCGCUCUUGAUACCCUAGAUAAGAAAUUUGUAAAUAUAUAAUACAUCGCUGUCUAGAAACGUAAUCUACCACGAUAGACCGCGAAAAAUUAUUCAGUGGUUUACAAUGUUAGUCACUGUACAUAAGUGUAACAAGAACGUGAUAACCUUAAUAUGAACUAGUUUGUAGCAUUAACUUUAAUCAAUGAUUGAUUUCGUGUCUCUGGUAAAUUGAGUUCACAUUGAAGAAAACUAUUUUGUGGCGUCAGAGCCCUGAAUGAAUCGUAUUGUGUCUACUCUGCUACAAAUACAAUUGUAAAUACCUAGGAUUUCUUAUAGCUUUUAGUAUAACAAAAUUACUUGACAAUGACUUUUAAGAGGCAAAAAGAUAAUAUGACAUCAUGUUAUGAAACAAACAAAAACGUAGCAGAGACUCUAUCUACCUGUUUUUGUACUAUAUUUCAUUGUUAGAAAAAUGUAAAUAUGUAUUAGUUUGUAAAGCGUUUAACUUUGUAUGGUAGUUGUAAAACAAAUUGUAGAUGGACGGUAAUUUAGAAAUUUUACAUAAAAAUUGAAAACCUUUCUUCAAAUUAAACCAUAGUACUUUGGCGUUUACUUUUAUUUUAAACCAUUCAAAAAAUGAUUUGAAGGAAAAUCACCGUUGAAACAUACAAAAACAAAAUAAUUAUAAAUUUCUUCAAAUCCAUUUUUCGUCAUUUUAAUUUGAUGCUAAAUUUCUACCUAAAUCAUGUACAAGGUUAUUUAUUUAAAGAAAGGUUUAUGAUGUUCAGUAAAUGAACAAAUCCGCGGAUUCUGAACCAGUGCCAUAUUUUGAAUUAUAUAUUUAAUCAACCAUGUAUAAAUGUUGUUUCACAAACAAUGUAUGUAAUCAUGAGUCAUGAAUCCUAAUUAAGAUGUAUAUAUACCUGUAUAUAUGUACUUCAUACUUUGACUUCUGUAUGAAUAGAUGCAUAAUAAAAUAAAAUAAAAUAAAACAUUUACAGGAUAACCUGAACAAUUUGAUCAAAAUGUAAUAUUUUGGUUUUGUAAAAACAUAUUAGAAUAAAUGCAACUAUGCAAAAACUAACACUGUAUAAAAUACGUGAUCUAGAUUACUAAAACAUUGUUAAAUAUGCAAAGUGCAGAGAAUUCAAAUUAUUGCAUAUUUUGCAACGCAAAUAUAGUUUUUUUCAAGCAUCUAUACUAUAUAAUGUUUAAAGAGUUGAAAUUUUGUAGAAAAUCGAUAUGGUAAUUUUUCAUUAUCUUUGUAUUUAAAGUUUCAUUUCAUAUCAUAAUGAGUUUGGAUUAUGAUGAACGAAACAAUUAAUUUUUGUCAUGACCUGUCGAUAGAAAUUGUCGUUUUCUUUUAAAAAGAUAAAGAACACUUCAAUGUUGAACGUUUCGUUCUAAAAUCAAAAGCAUAAUGUGACUAAUGUCAGUCAAUAAAAUAAUCAAAAUUGA
rnacentral:lncRNA from 1 species